rnacentral:rRNA from 1 species
UACGGAGGGUGCAAGCGUUAAUCGGAAUCACUGGGCGUAAAGCGCACGUAGGCGGUCUGGUGUGUCAGGUGUGAAAUCCCCCGGCUUAACCGUGGAAUUGCACUUGAAACUACCGGACUUGAGUAUCGGAGAGGGUGGCGGAAUUCCAGGUGUAGGAGUGAAAUCCGUAGAUAUCUGGAGGAACACCAGUGGCGAAGGCGGCCACCUGGACGACUACUGACGCUGAGGUGCGAAAGCGUGGGGAGCAAAC